AAGUAUGGAAAAUCAAUCUGAAACAAAUGGAGCAAGAUUUUCUCCAAAAAAACUACGAGUAAAAUGUUUUGUUGUGUCUAUGGUUGCAAAAGUAAAGCGUUUAACAAUCCGGGCGUUCGUUUCCACUAUUUUCCAAAACCAAAUAGUUACUAUGUAAAAAUACAAAAUUAUUUCGGUAAUUCGGUAAAGUCGAUUGCCAUAAAAAAUGGCAAGAAGUUUUAAAAAUUGGGGAAACAGUAAUUCAGCACAUGCAAGUUUGUUAGUUACAUUUUAAAAGAAGUGACUAUGUUCCACCUGGUUUCAAAUUCUUGAAGAAAGAUGCCAUACCUUCCUGUAAUUUGCCUUCAUGUAAUAUAAAAGAGCCUUCAGAUGACCAGAAACGAAUUAGUAGAAGUAUGAUUAAGAUUAAGAUUAAAUAGAGAAAAAAAUCGUACUGAAGCUAAUAUAAACCAACAAAAUGGAAAUUGUGGUAACCUAAACGAUGAAGAAAAUAUUUUAACAAGUUCUGACCUUCCAAUGGCAGAAAAUAAUGAUAUAAACUCUCUCAGCGUAACUCAUAUCGAUUAUUUAUAUUAUUUAAUAUGCCACAAUAUAUUAAAUGACCAGCAUUCACAACUUUCUCUCCUUCAACGAAAUUACGGCUUUUUAUUGAUGAGUUCAAGAACUCCAAAAUUUCACUC